rnacentral:ribozyme from 1 species
GGCACGGAGGUCGGCGUCUGGCAGGAAACGGUGCUCGUCGACGGUCAAGGCCCCGACGUCGCGAUCGACAUCGCGGACCUCGACGGCGACGGCGUCCCCGAGUUCGCCGCCGGCAAUUUCUUCACCUUCCCGAACAAAAUCGCG